CCCUUAGAUGUUCUGGGCGGCCCGCGCACUACAUUGGCACUAGCAAAGAGAUCCUAGAUUGAAUUCUUUGGGGUAUUCUUCUAAAUGGUGUCGUGACUGGGAUAAAUCCUUGUAAUUAUUGGUUUUGAACGAGGAAUUCCUUGUAAUCGCGGUUUAUCAGCUCGCGUUGAAUGCGUCCCUGCCCUUUGUACACACCGCCCGUCGCUCCUACCGAUGGAUCGUCCGGUGAAGCUCACGGAGUGACUGUUCACGCAACGGUUUACGAAGUGAAAUGGACCUCACGAUUUAGAGGAAGGAGAAGUCGUAGCA
rnacentral:rRNA from 1 species